rnacentral:lncRNA from 1 species
AGUUUUCAUUUGUGGUGAGAUUCUCUCCCAGGCCACAAGACAUUUCCUGCUCGGAACCUUGUUUACUAAUUGGAUCUAUUUGUGAUGACUAUAUGGCAACUCUUUGCUGUCCUCAUUGUACUCUUUGCCAAAUCAAGAGAGAUAUCAACAGAAGGAGAGCCAUGCGUACUUUCUAAAAACUGAUGGUGAAAAGCUCUUACCGAAGCAACAAAAUUCAGCAGACACCUCUUCAGCUUGAGUUCUUCACCAUCUUUUGCAACUGAAAUAUGAUGGAUAUGCUUAAGUACAACUGAUGGCAUGAAAAAAAUCAAAUUUUUGAUUUAUUAUAAAUGAAUGUUGUCCCUGAACUUAGCUAAAUGGUGCA